rnacentral:rRNA from 1 species
ACUCCUACGGGAGGCAGCAGUGGGGAAUAUUGGACAAUGGGCGCAAGCCUGAUCCAGCCAUACCGCGUGGGUGAAGAAGGCCUUCGGGUUGUAAAGCCCUUUUGUUGGGAAAGAAAUCCAGCCGGUUAAUACCUGGUUGGGAUGACGGUACCCAAAGAAUAAGCACCGGCUAACUUCGUGCCAGCAGCCGCGGUAAUACGAAGGGUGCAAGCGUUACUCGGAAUUACUGGGCGUAAAGCGUGCGUAGGUGGUUGUUUAAGUCUGUUGUGAAAGCCCUGGGCUCAACCUGGGAACUGCAGUGGAAACUGGACAACUAGAGUGUGGUAGAGGGUAGCGGAAUUCCCGGUGUAGCAGUGAAAUGCGUAGAGAUCGGGAGGAACAUCCAUGGCGAAGGCAGCUACCUGGACCAACACUGACACUGAGGCACGAAAGCGUGGGGAGCAAACAGGAUUAGAUACCCUGGUAGUCCACGCCCUAAACGAUGCGAACUGGAUGUUGGGUGCAAUUUGGCACGCAGUAUCGAAGCUAACGCGUUAAGUUCGCCGCCUG